AGUUCGAUUUCCUGGCUCAGAUUGAACGCUGGCGGGAUGCUUUACACAUGCAAGUCGAACGGCAGCACGGACUUCGGUCUGGUGGCGAGUGGCGAACGGGUGAGUAAUGUAUCGGAACGUGCCUAGUGGGGAUAACUACGCGAAAGCGUAGCUAAUACCGCAUACGCCCUUCGGGGGAAAGCGGGGGACCUUCGCCUCGCACUAUUAGAGCGGCCGAUAUCGGAUUAGCUAGUUGGUGGGGUAACGGCUCACCAAGGCGACGAUCCGUAGCUGGUUUGAGGACGACCAGCCACACUGGACUGAGACACGGCCCAGACUCCUACGGGAGGCAGCAGGGAAUUUUGGACAAUGGGGGAAACCCUGAUCCAGCCAUCCGUGUGCGAUGAAGGCCUUCGGGUUGUAAAGCACUUUUGGCAGGAAAGAAACGGCACGGGAUAAUACCCCGUGCAACUGGACGGUACCUGGUGAAUAAGCACCAUAACUACGUGCCAGCAGCCGCGGUAAUACGUAGGUGGGGUGCAAGCGUUAAUCGGAAUUACUGGGCGUAAAGCGUGCGCAGGCGGUUCGGAAAGAAAGAUGUGAAAUCCCAGAGCUUUGGAACUGCAUUUUUAACUACCGAGCUAGAGGUGGUCAGAGGAGGUGGAAAUUCCGUGUAGCAGUGAAAUGCGUAGAUAUGCGGAGGAACACCGAUGGCGAAGGCAGCCUGGGAUAACACUGACGCUCAUGCACACGAAAGCGUGGGGAGCAAACAGGAUUAGAUACCCUGGUAGUCCACGCCCUAAACGAUGUCAACUAGCUGUUGGGGCCUUCUGGCCUUUGGCGCAGCUAACGCGUGAAGUUGACCGCCUGGGGAGUACGGUCGCAAGAUUAAAAACUCAAAGGAAUUGACGGGGACCCGCACAAGCGGUGGAUGAUGUGGAUUAAUUCGAUGCAACGCGAAAAACCUUACCUACCUUGAUACGUUCAACCUGAAGAGAUUUGGGAGUGCUCGCAAGAGAACCGGAACACAGGUACAGCGGCUGUCGUCAAAGCUCGUGUCGUGAGAUGCUGGGCUUAAGUCCUACAACGAGCGCAACCCUUGUCAUUAGUUGCUACGAAAGGGCACUCUAACAGACUGCCGGUGACAAACCGGAGGAAGGUGGGGAUGACGUCAAGUCCUCAUGGCCCUUAUGGGUAGGGGCCUUCACACGUCAUACAAUGUGUCGGGACAGAGGGUCGCCAACCCGCGAGGGGGAGCCAAUCCCGCAGAAACCGGAUCGUAGUCCGGAUCGUAGUUCGGUGAACUUUGAUCAGUGAAGUCGGAAUUUGCUAGUAAUCGUGGAUCAGCAUGUCGCGGGUGAAGAUGUUCCGGGUCUUGUACACACUCGCCCGUCACACCAUGGGAGUGGGGCUUACCGAGAAGUAGUUAGCUCAACCGUAAGGAGGCGAUUACCACGGUAGGAUUCAUGACUGGGGUGAAGUCGUAACAAGGUAA
rnacentral:rRNA from 1 species